rnacentral:rRNA from 1 species
CCUACGGGGUGCAGCAGUGGGGAAUAUUGGACAAUGGGCGAAAGCCUGAUCCAGCCAUGCCGCGUGUGUGAAGAAGGCCUUCGGGUUGUAAAGCACUUUCAGUGGGGAAGAAAGCCUUGGGGCUAAUACCCUCGAGGAAGGACAUCACCCACAGAAGAAGCACCGGCUAACUCCGUGCCAGCAGCCGCGGUAAUACGGAGGGUGCGAGCGUUAAUCGGAAUUACUGGGCGUAAAGCGCGCGUAGGCGGUCUGAUAAGCCGGUUGUGAAAGCCCCGGGCUCAACCUGGGAACGGCAUCCGGAACUGUCAGGCUAGAGUGCAGGAGAGGAAGGUAGAAUUCCCGGUGUAGCGGUGAAAUGCGUAGAGAUCGGGAGGAAUACCAGUGGCGAAGGCGGCCUUCUGGACUGACACUGACGCUGAGGUGCGAAAGCGUGGGUAGCAAACAGGAUUAGAUACCCGAGUCGUC